UGUGCUCUGAAAAUAUCCACAUCUUUUCAACAUUAAUCAUUACUUUAGUUUUUUUGCCAGAAAAACUAGCAUGUUAGAAUGAUAGAGAAAACCACUCUGGUACCCCAUGGUGUGUAAAACAGAAACUAAAUG